rnacentral:rRNA from 1 species
UACGUAGGGUGCAAGCGUUAAUCGGAAUUACUGGGCGUAAAGCGUGCGCAGGCGGUUAUGUAAGACAGUUGUGAAAUCCCCGGGCUCAACCUGGGAACUGCAUCUGUGACUGCAUCGCUGGAGUACGGCAGAGGGGGAUGGAAUUCCGCGUGUAGCAGUGAAAUGCGUAGAUAUGCGGAGGAACACCGAGGGCGAAGGCAAUCCCCUGGGCCUGUACUGACGCUCAUGCACGAAAGCGUGGGGAGCAAACAGG